rnacentral:misc_RNA from 1 species
AAAGCUCUUUGUUUUUUGAAAGGGUGCUUUUAUGAGAUAGAGCUUUUUUAGAUAAUGCUUUUUUAGAUAAUGCUGGGGAAGGUUUUCCGGUUUAUCUCGGAGGGCUUGUAGCUCAGUUGGUUAGAGCGCGCGCUUGAUAAGCGUGAGGUCGGAGGUUCAAGUCCUCCCAGGCCCACCAAUUUACCUAUCCAUUUGCCUUUAUCUGUUUAUUUGCCGAUUUAUCGGUCCAUUGAAUUUAAGUGUUGGUAGCAGUUUUAUAAUGAUGAGAAAUCAUGCUUAUAAAAGAAUUCCUUAUAAAAGGCUUGUUUUUAAAAUGUGACGCUUAUCCAUUUCGCUUAGGCAAAAGAAACUUCAAGCGGUCAAAUGCAAAAGGCUUUAAAUUUUGCAAAACACUUUGAAUUUUAAAGUGAUCCAAGUUCGUGAUCUCGAAUUUAAAAGUUUCAAAUGCUUUAUCCUUUUUUGGGGGCCGUAGCUCAGCUGGGAGAGCACCUGCUUUGCAAGCAGGGGGCGUCGGUUCAAAUAUUUUAGGGGCCGUAGCUCAGCUGGGAGAGCACCUGCUUUGCAAG